rnacentral:rRNA from 1 species
GUCGAGAAUCAUUCACAAUGGGGGAAACCCUGAUGGUGCGACGCCGCGUGGGGGAAUGAAGGUCUUCGGAUUGUAAACCCCUGUCAUGUGGGAGCAAAUUAAAAAGAUAGUACCACAAGAGGAAGAGACGGCUAACUCUGUGCCAGCAGCCGCGGUAAUACAGAGGUCUCAAGCGUUGUUCGGAAUCACUGGGCGUAAAGCGUGCGUAGGCUGUUUCGUAAGUCGUGUGUGAAAGGCGCGGGCUCAACCCGCGGACGGCACAUGAUACUGCGAGACUAGAGUAAUGGAGGGGGAACCGGAAUUCUCGGUGUAGCAGUGAAAUGCGUAGAUAUCGAGAGGAACACUCGUGGCGAAGGCGGGUUCCUGGACAUUAACUGACGCUGAGGCACGAAGGCCAGGGGAGCGAAAGGGAUUAGAAACCCUAGUAGUCC